CUUGGACAUUAUUUAUAUACUGUCUCUUUAAGAGUUGCCGGUAUGGUUUUCAUGUUAUGUGUUCCAGCGUGUAAUGUAAUGUAAUGUACUGUAAUGGUAAUGCUGUAUUUCCUGCCUGGGCUAUCUGCCGAAAGCAGAUAGCUGAUUCCCUUUCGUUUCACGAAUGGCACCUUUGCGGAACCGAACAAACCAUCAGUUAAUAGCCCACACACUUAGAGGCGUGUGGCGCCUAUUAACCAAUUGCAACAAUGUUGCAAUCGGUAAUUAGAGGCUCUCCAAGGUGGCCGUCGUUCGACUACCGACCAUGCGGCAGUCGGCC